rnacentral:rRNA from 1 species
UACGGGAGGCAGCAGUGGGGAAUAUUGCACAAUGGGCGAAAGCCUGAUGCAGCUAUGCCGCGUGUAUGAAGAAGGCCUUAGGGUUGUAAAGUACUUUCAUCGGGGAGGAAAAAACAAAACUAAUAAUUUUAUUUCUUGACGUUACCCGAAAAAGAAGCACCGGCUAACUCCGUGCCAGCAGCCGCGGUAAUACGGAGGGUGCUAGCGUUAAUCAGAAUUACUGGGCGUAAAGAGCACGUAGGUGGUUUUUUUAAAGUCAGAUGUGAAAUCCCUGGGCUUAACCUGGAACUGCAUUUUGAAACUGAAAUACUAGAGUAUCGUAGAGGGAGGUAGAAUUCUAGGUGUAGCGGUGAAAUGCGUAGAUAUCUGGAGGAAUACCUGUGGCGAAAGCGGCCUCCUAAACGAAUACUGACACUGAGGGUGCGAAAGCGUGGGGAGCAAACGAGGGAUUAGAUACC